CGCAGGCCCAUCCAACACAAUCAAGGCCAGAGUGGGUUUCCCGCUGCCUCCCCUCCCACGGUCUGUGCAGAAAGGAGUGGCGUGGCCGUGAACCCAGGGAGGUUGUCCAUGAUUGUAUUCCCAGUUCCUGCUGCCCUGUAUGUGUUCAAUCAACAUCUGGUGAAUACAUAAAAGGCCCCAUUUCCAAAACUGUUUGUGUCUUUGUUGGCUGUGUCUUUUGCAUAGAUUGGGAAAUCUGAGUUCACGAACUCCAGCUCAGACAAAUGGACAAAUGUUGCUGACUGAGCUGCAGGGCCCUGUGAUAUCAGCUGAGUUACCUUGGAGCUCAGGACCAAAGAAAAAGUGCUUUCCAUCAGCUAACCUGGUCGGUGUGAGAGACGGCAGAGAAUUCCAAGUAGCAGGUACCCAAUUGUCUCUGAUGACGUCAAAAAGAGGCUCCCUGAGGAGGAAGGGACACUGCAUUCCAAGUGCUAGAAUAGGAGAAAAUGCCAGAUGAAGGGUGAGACGACACGUAAAGAGAAGGCAUCACUGACCUUGCUGCUUCCAGUGGGCGGGACAGGGUGAGAGCGGUGGACAUGGAGGCAGCCCGGCUGACCUUCACCUUCCAUGAUCUUG
rnacentral:lncRNA from 1 species